UACGGGGGGGGGCAAGCGUUGUUCGGAAUUACUGGGCGUAAAGGGCUCGUAGGUGGCCAACUAAGUCAGACGUGAAAUCCCUCGGCUUAACCGGGGAACUGCGUCUGAUACUGGAUGGCUUGAGUUCGGGAGAGGGAUGCGGAAUUCCAGGUGUAGCGGUGAAAUGCGUAGAUAUCUGGAGGAACACCGGUGGCGAAGGCGGCAUCCUGGACCGACACUGACACUGAGGAG
rnacentral:rRNA from 1 species